rnacentral:rRNA from 1 species
ACUACGGGAGGCAGCAGUGGGGAAUAUUGGGCAAUGGGCGCAAGCCUGACCCAGCAACGCCGCGUGAAGGAAGAAGGCUUUCGGGUUGUAAACUUCUUUUCUGAGGGACGAAGAACGUGACGGUACCUCAGGAAUAAGCCACGGCUAACUACGUGCCAGCCGCCGCGGUAAUACGUAGGUGGCAAGCUUUAUCCGGAUUUAUUGGGGGUAAAGGGCGUGUAGGCGGGAAAGCAAGUCAGAUGUGAAAACUCAGGGCUCAACCCUGUGCCUGCAUUUGAAACUGUUUUUCUUGAGUGCUGGAGAGGCAAUCGGAAUUCCGUGUGAAGCGGUGAAAUGCGUAGAUAUACGGAGGAACACCAGUGGCGAAGGCGGAUUGCUGGACAGUAACUGACGCUGAGGCGCGAAAGCGUGGGGAGCAAACAGGAUUAGAUACCCCAGUAGUC